rnacentral:rRNA from 1 species
AACGAACGCUGGCGGCAUGCCUAACACAUGCAAGUCGAACGAAACCUCCCGGCCUGCAGGCUCCCGGGUGCGUAAAGGGUUGGAUACUGCCCUUAGGUUCGGCAUAGCACCCCGGAAGAGGUGCUAAUAACGGAUAAUGUCUCCGGACCAAAGAUUUAUUGCCUUUGGUUGUGGCCGCGUUGUUUUAGCUUGUUGUUAGGGUACAAGCCAACCACGUCGUCGAUCCGUAGCUGGUCGGAGAGGCGGAUCAGCGAGACUGGGACUGAGGCAUGGCCCAGACGCCUACGGGAGGCAGCAGUGGGGAAAAUAGGACAAUGGGCGAGAGGCUGAGCCAGCACGGCCGCGUGAGUGAUGAAGGCCUUAGGGUUGUAAAGCGCUUGUACCCGAGAUGAUAAUGACAGUACCGGGAGAAUAAGCUCCGGCUAACUACGUG